GAUGAACGCUGGCGGCGUGCCUAAUACAUGCAAGUCGAACGCAUAGCGAAAGGUGCUUGCCCCUUUCAAGUGAGUGGCGAACGGGUGAGUAACACGUGGACAACCUGCCUCAAGGCUGGGGAUAACAUUUGGAAACAGAUGCUAAUACCGAAUAAAACUUAGUGUCGCAUGACACAAAGUUAAAAGGCGCUUCGGCGUCACCUAGAGAUGGAUCCGCGGUGCAUUAGUUAGUUGGUGGGGUAAAGGCCUACCAAGACAAUGAUGCAUAGCCGAGUUGAGAGACUGAUCGGCCACAUUGGGACUGAGACACGGCCCAAACUCCUACGGGAGGCUGCAGUAGGGAAUCUUCCACAAUGGGCGAAAGCCUGAUGGAGCAACGCCGCGUGUGUGAUGAAGGCUUUCGGGUCGUAAAGCACUGUUGUAUGGGAAGAACAGCUAGAAUAGGAAAUGAUUUUAGUUUGACGGUACCAUACCAGAAGGGGACGGCUAAAUACGUG
rnacentral:rRNA from 1 species